UACGUAGGGGGCAAGCGUUGUCCGGAAUUAUUGGGCGUAAAGAGCUCGUAGGCGGUUUGUCGCGUCGGCUGUGAAAACCUAGGGCUCAACUCUGGGCUUGCAGCCGAUACGGGCAAACUAGAAUUCGGUAGGGGAGACUGGAAUUCCUGGUGUAGCGGUGAAAUGCGCAGAUAUCAGGAGGAACACCGGUGGCGAAGGCGGGUCUCUGGGCCGAUAUUGACGCUGAGGAGCGAAAGCGUGGGGAGCGAACAGG
rnacentral:rRNA from 1 species